AGAGAGAGACAUGCGCGCAUAUCAAUAAGCGGAGGAAAAGAAACUAACAAGGAUUCCCUUAGUAACGGCGAGUGAAGCGGGAAGAGCUCAAAUUUGAAAUCUUCAAGGUUUUACCUUGACGAAUUGUAGUUUAAAGAAGUGUUUUCUGCUGAAGUUUUGGUAAAAGUUCUUUGGAAUAGGACAUCAUAGAGGGUGAGAAUCCCGUAUUUGACCAUUAUUUUCAGCUUUGUGAUACACUUUCAAAGAGUCGGAUUGUUUGGGAAUGCAGUCCAAAAUGGGUGGUAAAUUUCAUCUAAAGCUAAAUAUUGGCGAGAGACCGAUAGCGAACAAGUACCGUGAGGGAAAGAUGAAAAGAACUUUGAAAAGAGAGUUAAACAGUACGUGAAAUUGUCAGAAGGGAAGCGUUUGACACCAGUGUUGUUUUCUCGAAAAUCAAUUAAAAAUGGCUCGAUUUUGUAUUGCUGAGACCUUAAAAGCUCACUGUACAUUUUUCGUGUCUUUUUUAAUGCACUUUUCGUUUAACAAGUCAACAUCAGUUUCUUUUGUUGUAAAAGGGUCAUUGGAAGGUGGCUUUCUUUUCGGAGAAAGUGUUUAUAGCCUUUGGCCUCUGCAAUCGGAGAGACUGAGGUCUGCAGCGUAGACUCUUCGGGGUUAGAUACAUUUGUGCUAAGUUAUAGCUUUUUAUAGACAACUUGUUGACUAUAAUUAGUCUUGUAGCUUACUCGCUUAUGCUAUUUUACCUACGCUUAGGAUGUUGAAGAUGUAGCACAUCAU
rnacentral:rRNA from 1 species